rnacentral:tRNA from 1 species
AGGGUGUUAGCUCAAUUGGAAGAGCAUCAGACAGCAAAUCUGAAGGUUGCGGGUUCGAAUCCUUGCACACCCUU